rnacentral:lncRNA from 1 species
GAAAGAAGUCAGCUCCAGACACCUGUGUACUCAGGAGGUGUUUUGAGACCCGGCAGCAGGUCAGAAAAGAUCGAAGGCAUAUGGGAAUAUGUAUGGUCCAAUACAUUGGUGGGGCAUGUCAGUGGCAUUGUGCCCAAUUAGUGGGCAGCUUGGGGCAUCACUCAAGAGUCAAUUUGCAAAUGCCCUUUGACUCAGUAAGCCUUGGGCCCAACACAGGAUGGCUGACUCCGGGUCUUGUGCUAUGACCCAUGACUCCCCGGUGAGUGACCGUCAGGCUUGGGCUGGAAAAGGCAGAGUUGGCGGAUUAUCCGAAGGACUGCGGACUUGGCCGUGGGAGGCUUAAGCAGGAUGGAUUGCUGUGGGCGAGUUCUUUGGAGUCUUUAUCUUUCUGUGUGGCUGGCUCAGAUGACAGCAAGGAGCCCAGGACAAAUCAAUAUGUCCUUGGUCAGCUGCUUUGGUGGCUCCACUGCCGCUCUGCUUCUACAAAUAAUUGGAGUCCAGUCACCAGUGAAUCAGCACGGACAGCCCUUGGCAAGCUGGACCACGAAGGCUGCUUGGCGUGGCAUGUCUGGGUGAAGGCGGCUCUGUGCUGGGUGGGUCAGAUGACAGAGAGCCUGGGCCAGCUGGGUAGCUACCCUCAAGGGGAUUUGGGCUAGUGACAUUUCUCGUGCCUCCCUUA